UGUCCAAUGGCACAUAGAUGGAAAUCAUAAACUGAUAAGAUGGAAAUUAGUUGUACAUGGGGCAAUGGAUGGUUACAGAGGCCUGUUUCAGGUAGCUGGUUUAACAUACUCUGAGUUUAAUCCUGCGCUCUGAGUUGGUUGAUUCAGAGUUCAGGUGUUGAAAAGCAACUCUGGGUUUUCGGUUUCAGAACAGGUGAUCAGCGUUGGGUUAAUCAACUCUGAGCGUGUUCACGCUGGGUUGGGGGCGUGCCUGUUGACUAUAAAGAGCCAUCAUCAAUGGAUCUCUGAUAACAUGAUCAAUAUGGACCAAAAACGUAGAUCCAGUUACUUUUCACACACGGAAUUGGAAAUAUUAAUGCACGCAUAUGCCGAGCAGGAACACAUUUUCACCCAAAAAAGCAAUACCGCCGCGGCAGCGAGAGCACGAGAGAGAGCUUGGCAGGAAAUAGCCGAACAAGUCAAUGCGAACAACCCGAGUUGCCCCAAGAGGACUUGGCAGCAAAUGAAAAUGAAGUAUAAAAAUAUAGUUCAAACAGCAAAUCGAAAAAAAGCAGAGGCCCGGAAGACUGGAGGGGGUCCACCACCUGCAGCCCUCACAGUGGCUGAGGAGAUGGCCCUCAGCCAACAGAGUAUGCGUCCUGUGGCUGAGGGCAUCCCUGGAGGGAGCUCCUCUGAUCCCCCCCAGCCCCCAGGAUAGAAGUGCCUUUAUCAGAGUUACUGAUGGCGUCAUCAACCUACUGGAACCAGAUGCCCUCACCAACCUCCAUGCAAUUGAAGAUGAUGGAGAAACAUUGUCUGCGGCAUUUGAAAGGGAAGAGGAAAGGCCUAUUGAGGAUGAAAUCGAAUUCAAUGAGAGGCCAUCCACUUCUAGCUCUACUUCACAGCUUACCUCUCUUCCAGUCAAAGAGCUCUAUAAAAUCUAUCUGGGAAAACAAAUAAACAAAGCGGACUUAGAAAUGGACCACAUAAGGCAAAAGAUGCAAAAGGAUGCUUUGGAGAUCCAAAUUUUGGAACACAAGUUAAAGGUGGGUGAGGUACAAACUGGGAUGCUGUUUCCUGCUCCAAAAACAUACCCAAUAUGAAUGACUUUUUUUUGUGCUUUCAGGAAAUAAAGAAAUCCUCAUAAAAAGUAGAAUGUCUUUAUUAGAACACGGGCUGUGGUGGGACAAGUUAUUUUGUUGAACAGUGUCACCCCCUACCAGAGGCUGGGACUGUCAC